UGGGGGAGUAUUGCACAAUGGGGGAAACCCUGAUGCAGCGACGCCGCGUGGGUGAAGGAGCACUUCGGUGCGUAAAGCCCUAUCGGCAGGGAAGAAAAGGGGGAAACCCCAGACGGUACCUGACUAAGAAGCCCCGGCUAACUACGUGCC
rnacentral:rRNA from 1 species